ensembl:lncRNA
GUGAAAACUGAACAGAAAAAGACGGGGACACUUUUAUUUUGUAGCCAGCAAAGUGAUGAAAACAACAAUAUCCAACAACUGCAUGCUGGAGCUAGAGAAAAUAUCGAUACGGCUGCGAACGUCUGUAUGUUAGUUGACGAACAAAGUUUGGAGAUGGUAAACAAAUGGACUUUACACGACGAUAUUCACAAGCUGGAAUAAUUUUAUGAAAAACCAUUUGGAUGCUUUUGAUCAGUGGAUUCUCACAAUUGGACAAUUGGAAUAUAAAUAAUUGAGGAAUUGCUUCAAAGGAUCUUGGCCCCGCACCCAUCGUUGCUGAUGCUGCCUUCCCCCUGCACAACAAUGCGCCCCUUUCCAGCACGGUGGCGAAUAUUUUGCCGGGCGAUUGAGUUCCGACCUGACAAUGCUGUGGAUGUCGUCAAAUCGUCAAAUCGAAUGCACCAGACAGCUGCUAUGUACCACCGCAAUUUACAGACACAGACUCUGCUGGAUCUGUACAGCUCGGAGCUGUGCCAUGGCAUGCUGACAUUGAGUCCCAUGGCACAUUUGGACAGUGAUGCUUAUAAACUUGCUUAAGCAACUUCUGUAAAUAAACAUCCAUAAAUGUCUAAACGUACGUGUUUUAUUUCAGUGCAAAGUGACAAGGUGCAA